rnacentral:lncRNA from 1 species
AGCGUAAUAACUAGAACAAAUGAGAUGGUUUUCCAAAUAGUGGGAUGCAUUUAGAUAAGUGAAAUCCUAUACUUCUCGCAAACUUAUACGAUAAAAUUGAAGAGUGUAGAAGAGGGGGAUUACAUGUAUUGGGUAAAGAUUUUUGGGAACGAUAAGAAACAUAUUGUGAGGUUAAAUGUGAUAUGGUAAGGAAAGAGCAAAGUAGAGAAUAGG